rnacentral:rRNA from 1 species
AGUGAACGCUGGCGGUAGGCCUAACACAUGCAAGUCGAACGGCAGCACAGUAAGAACUUGCUCUUACGGGUGGCGAGUGGCGGACGGGUGAGGAAUACAUCGGAAUCUACUUUUUCGUGGGGGAUAACGUAGGGAAACUUACGCUAAUACCGCAUACGACCUACGGGUGAAAGCAGGGGAUCUUCGGACCUUGCGCGAUUGAAUGAGCCGAUGUCGGAUUAGCUAGUUGGCGGGGUAAAGGCCCACCAAGGCGACGAUCCGUAGCUGGUCUGAGAGGAUGAUCAGCCACUCUGGAACUGAGACACGGUCCAGACUCCUACGGGAGGCAGCAGUGGGGAAUAUUGGACAAUGGGCGCAAGCCUGAUCCAGCCAUACCGCGUGGGUGAAGAAGGCCUUCGGGUUGUAAAGCCCUUUUGUUGGGAAAGAAAAGCAGCAGGUUAAUACCCCGCUGUUCUGACGGUACCCAAAGAAUAAGCACCGGCUAACUUCGUG